rnacentral:rRNA from 1 species
GACGAACGCUGGUGGCGUGCUUAACACAUGCAAGUCGAACGAAGAGCGAUGGAAGCUUGCUUCUAUCAAUCUUAGUGGCGAACGGGUGAGUAACGCGUAAUCAACCUGCCCUUCAGAGGGGGACAACAGUUGGAAACGACUGCUAAUACCGCAUACGAUCUAAUCUCGGCAUCGAGGAUAGAUGAAAGGUGGCCUCUACAUGUAAGCUAUCACUGAAGGAGGGGAUUGCGUCUGAUUAGCUAGUUGGAGGGGUAACGGCCCACCAAGGCGAUGAUCAGUAGCCGGUCUGAGAGGAUGAGCGGCCACAUUGGGACUGGGACACGGCCCAGACUCCUACGGGAGGCAGCAGUGGGGAAUCUUCCGCAAUGGACGAAAGUCUGACGGAGCAACGCCGCGUGAGCGAUGACGGCCUUCGGGUUGUAAAGCUCUGUUAAUCGGGACGAAGGGCCUUCUUGCGAAUAGUGAGAAGGAUUGACGGUACCGGAAUAGAAAGCCACGGCUAACUACGUG